GACGAACGCUGGCGGCGUGCUUAACACAUGCAAGUCGAACGGAAAGGCCCUGCUUUUGUGGGGUGCUCGAGUGGCGAACGGGUGAGUAACACGUGAGUAACCUGCCCUUGACUUUGGGAUAACUUCAGGAAACUGGGGCUAAUACCGGAUAGGAGCUCCUGCUGCAUGGUGGGGGUUGGAAAGUUUCGGCGGUUGGGGAUGGACUCGCGGCCUAUCAGCUUGUUGGUGGGGUAGUGGCUUACCAAGGCUUUGACGGGUAGCCGGCCUGAGAGGGUGACCGGCCACAUUGGGACUGAGAUACGGCCCAGACUCCUACGGGAGGCAGCAGUGGGGAAUAUUGCACAAUGGGCGGAAGCCUGAUGCAGCAACGCCGCGUGCGGGAUGACGGCCUUCGGGUGGUAAACCGCUUUCGCCUGUGACGAAUCGUGAGUGACGGUAAUGGGUAAAGAAGCACCGGCUAACUACGU
rnacentral:rRNA from 1 species